rnacentral:rRNA from 1 species
UACGUAGGCAGCAAGCGUUGUUCGGAAUUUACUGGGCGUAAAGAGUGUGUAGGUGGUGUCGUAAGUUUGGUGUUGAAAUCUCCCGGCUUUAACUGGGAGGGUGCGCCGAAGACUGCGAUGCUGGAGUAUGGGAGAGGAAAGCGGAAUUCCUGGUGUAGCGGUGAAAUGCGUAGAUAUCAGGAGGAACACCUGCGGUGUAGACGGCUUUCUGGACCAUUACUGACACUGAGACACGAAAGCGUGGGUAGCAAACAGG